UCCGGUUUAACACCGGCAGUCUCCGUAGAGUGCCCAACUGAAUGGUGGCAACUAGGGAUAAGGGUUGCGCUCGUUAAGGGACUUAACCCGACAUCUCACGAUACGAGCUGACGACAGCCAUGCAGCACCUGUCUCUCGGCCCCCGAAGGGGAAACGCCAUCUCUGGCGCUGUCCGAGGAUGUCAAAUCCAGGUAAGGUUCUUCGCGUUGCAUCGAAUUAAACCACAUGCUCCACCGCUUGUGCGGGCCCCCGUCAAUUCCUUUGAGUUUUAACCUUGCGGCCGUACUUCCCAGGCGGGGUACUUAAUGCGUUAGCGUCGACACUGCAGGGGUCAAUUCCUGCAACAUCUAGUACCCAUCGUUUACAGCGUGGACUAC
rnacentral:misc_RNA from 1 species